rnacentral:rRNA from 1 species
UGGGGAUGCGUUCCAUUAGGCAGUUGGUGGGGUAACGGCCCACCAAACCUUCGAUGGAUAGGGGUUCUGAGAGGAAGGUCCCCCACAUUGGAACUGAGACACGGUCCAAACUCCUACGGGAGGCAGCAGUGAGGAAUAUUGGUCAAUGGACGAGAGUCUGAACCAGCCAAGUAGCGUGAAGGAUGACUGCCCUAUGGGUUGUAAACUUCUUUUAUAUGGGAAUAAAGUGGUCCACGUGUGGAUUUUUGUAUGUACCAUAUGAAUAAGGAUCGGCUAACUCCGUGCCAGCAGCCGCGGUAAUACGGAGGAUCCGAGCGUUAUCCGGAUUUAUUGGGUUUAAAGGGAGCGUAGGUGGACAGUUAAGUCAGUUGUGAAAGUUUGCGGCUCAACCGUAAAAUUGCAGUUGAUACUGGCUGUCUUGAGUACAGUAGAGGUGGGCGGAAUUCGUGGUGUAGCGGUGAAAUGCUUAGAUAUCACGAAGAACUCCGAUUGCGAAGGCAGCUCACUGGACUGCAACUGACACUGAUGCUCGAAAGUGUGGGUAUCAAACAGGAUUAGAUACCCUGGUAGUCCACACAGUAAACGAUGAAUACUCGCUGUUUGCGAUAUACAGUAAGCGGCCAAGCGAAAGCAUUAAGUAUUCCACCUGGGGAGUACGCCGGCAACGGUGAAACUCAAAGGAAUUGACGGGGGCCCGCACAAGCGGAGGAACAUGUGGUUUAAUUCGAUGAUACGCGAGGAACCUUACCCGGGCUUAAAUUGCAUUUGAAUAUAUUGGAAACAGUAUAGUCGUAAGACAAAUGUGAAGGUGCUGCAUGGUUGUCGUCAGCUCGUGCCGUGAGGUGUCGGCUUAAGUGCCAUAACGAGCGCAACCCUUAUCUUUAGUUACUAACAGGUCAUGCUGAGGACUCUGGAGAGACUGCCGUCGUAAGAUGUGAGGAAGGUGGGGAUGACGUCAAAUCAGCACGGCCCUUACGUCCGGGGCUACACACGUGUUACAAUGGGGGGUACAGAAGGCCGCUACCUGGUGACAGGAUGCUAAUCCCAAAAGCCUCUCUCAGUUCGGAUCGAAGUCUGCAACCCGACUUCGUGAAGCUGGAUUCGCUAGUAAUCGCGCAUC